rnacentral:sRNA from 1 species
GACCAUGGAUGCUUGCCGCCGUAGCCGAAUCAGUGUGUGCUCUGAUGUUCCCAUUCCAUUGGCAAUGCCCAUACAUCCCACAAUGUCCGUUGGGACUUGCCGGCGUACUCCAUGCCCCGCUUCCAUUCAUCGCCGGCGUCGAUUCCCGAUACUUUGAGCUUUACGAAGAUCCACCUGAUGACGUCACCUGCUUCGAUUUGGACACAAGUACGAUCAGUUUUUCGACAGUCCGCGCCACUUUCAAAACGUCGAUGUUGCCGAAAAAACCGGCAAAACAGCUGAAAUCGGCGUUGGAGGAUAUAUUUGGAAAGCUGCAGAAACAGGAUUAUUCGACAAAUUCAAAAAGUGAUGGAGGAUUUAUUCCAGUAGAUCAGGUUGUGUACUCCCAGAGGAGAAGAUUUUUUAAUUUUUAAUUUUCAAAAUUUUGUUCAGGAUUUGGUAAAACAGCGACAACGACGAGAGUUCGAGAAUGAAAUUCACGAUGCUUUUUUGAAAUUCAUCGCGAGUAUUAUGAAGGGAUAUCAAGCGUUUUUAAGGCCUAUCAAGGGGGCUCCAAUGACUGAACAUGCUACAGAUACUGGGAAUUUGUUCGAUUUGGAUGGGUUUUUAAGGUAGAAAUCCGGGGUAAAAUUAUGCUUAAACAACGAAAAUUUAGUGAUUUUACCAUAAUAUUAAGCGUAGAAAUUUGGCGUUUUCCCAAUAAAUUUCUCCAAAUUCAGCCAACAGUUUAAAAAAUCAAUCCAUUAAAUCUGACCUUUGAGCAAAAUCAGUUAAACUCUAAAAACCACGAAAUAUUAAUUUAAAAAUCGAGGAAAAAACUAUCAUGUCAAAUUUUUUGUGGCAAAUGUGCUCUACUGAUAAUCUAGGUGUUAAUUAUGUUAAUUUCUUAUUCAAUUAACAUACUUAUCACCUAUGACUAUCAUUAGUUCACAUUUAGUCACGCGUAGGGGGAACCUAUGCCCAAAUUUUCAUUUUUGCACCGAAUCCUACGUGAAAUUGCGAAUAUUGAACAAAAUUUGUCUUAAAAAGGCCGGAGGUUUGAAAAGUUCAAAAAUCCAGCACAUUAGAUUCUUUAAUUUUUAAUUUUUUUAUGUGAAAACUCUUCGAUCACUAAAUUCAGAAAUUUCUGAAAAUGUUUGAAAAAUUCAGUUUUGUUUUAUUGAGUCUCGCCACGAAAUUCUUCAAACUUACCGCAGACCCUCAAUUUUGGAUUUUUCAUUUUGUCUCUUUGAAUCCGGCUGAACGUUUGUGUUAAUUUAAGUACAGUCAUGACAGAUUUCCUUUCGUUUAAAAAAAAAAUUACAGGUCUCGCCGCGAAAUCGCCUGGAUUACUGUAGUUUUCAUGGUGGGACCAACAAUUUUCAAAUUCGAUACAAAUUAGUUAUGGUUACAUUCGAAUUAAAAAUUUAAUAAAACUAAUAUUUUUUUUUUGAGAAAAAAAACGGGGUCUAGCUUUUUCUUUUAAAAAAUCGAAAAUUCGCAAUGAAACUUUGAAAUGUUCUGUGGCAAAUGUGCUCUACUGAUAAUCGAGGCGUUAAUUAUGUUAUUUUUACCAAAAAUAACAUACUCAACACCUAUGACUAUCAGUAGUUCACAUUUAGUCAUCCACUCAAAAAGUCUGGAAAAAAGCCAAAUUUUCAGAUCCCGUGACCGUUCGUCUGCAGACUUUUACAAACGAUUCUCGGAGACGCAGUCUUUUAUGAGAUUUAUAGAGGAACGAAGCUUUGUAUCGGAUAAAAACACAUAUAAUGCAUUCUUCGAUGAUUGUAUUGCAAAGUUGACGAGCGCAGUGGAAGGUGGGCGGAAUUUUUCUGCUGAAAACAGGAAAUUAUCGCAAAUUCCGCAUCAUUACAGACGGUCGAGAUAUCAGUGGAGUUCAACUUUUAGAGCCCGACACAUCGCACAGCCACACUACGGUAGGUUUUUUUCAGAGUUUUUGGCGGAUUUUGGCACUGCAACUUUUUCCUUACGAGGGACGAGGAAAAGUGGUUUCUAGGCCAUGGCCGAGGGGCCGACAAGUUUCAGCGGCCAUUUAUCUUGCUUUGUUUUCCGCCUGUUUUCUUUUGUUUUUCAUCGAUUUUUUUCGUUUUUUCUUAUUAAAACUGAUAAAUAAAUAUUUUUUGCAGAUGCUAAAACAAUUUCCAAGUAAAAUUAUUAUGUAUUCAGUGGGCAAGCAGCGGUGAAAGUGGGCAAUGUAAAAUGAUGGAUUACGGGAAUACAAAACCUAAACUUUUUCUGAAACAUGAUACAUAUGCUGCUUAGAUGCUGAAAUUACCUGAUUUUCAUAACGAGACCGCUGAAAAAGUUUUGAGGUUUUCAAAAUUCAACUUUUUUGGUGAAAGUCUCAGCAUUUAAGCAGCAUAUGUAUCAUGUUUCAGAAAAAGUUUAGGUUUUGUAUUCCCGUAAUCCAUCAUUUUACAUUGACCACUUUCACCGCUGCUUGCCCACUGAAUACAUAAUUUUUUUACUUGGAAAUUGUUUUAGCAUCUGCAAAAAAUAUUUAUUUAUCAGUUUUAUUAAGAAAAAACGAAAAAAAUCGAUGAAAAACGUAAGAAAACAGGCGGAAAACAAAGCAAGAUAAAUGGCCGCUGAAACUUGUCGGCCCCUCGGCCAUGGCAGUGUUUGGCAUGAUUUUCGUGGCUUUUGUGAGAGCAGAUUUAGUAGGUGUGAAAUUUUUCGAAAUUUUAGAGUACGAUUAACGCGUUAGCUGAUACAAGGACGUCUAUGGUUUGUUGUGAUUUUUUGAUUGGAAAAAAUUGAUUUUUUUCUUUUAAUUGCUUCUGGUCCUCUGUUUUACAUGUUGCAUGGCUUUUUAUAUGGGGAAGGAAAAUGGUGUUUUUCCGAAAAAAAAAAGUGUGAAAAAACGUAAAAAGGAGCCUAAAACUCGAAAAAAUUGGCUUAAAAACGUGAGAAAAGCACAGCAGCCGACAUUUUCCUGGUUUUGGAUUUUUUUUGAAAUUUCAAACCUUCAGCGUAAAUUUGAAAAAAAGCUCAAAAAUUGGUUUUUUUUAUAAUUUCAAAUAAAGCAGCCGACCCUUUCCGGGUUUGAAAAAAUUUACGAAAAAGUCUGCUUUAAAAUCUGCUUUGAAAGCUCAAAAAACUACUGAAAUUGUCAGAAAUAUGAAGCAGCCGACACUUUACGGUUUUUAGAAAUUUGCGGAAAUCUUAAUUUUUUUAAAUUUAGAAAUUUCAGUUUUUCGAGACAAAUUUUGCUAAAAAUUUGAAGGAAUUUUGAAAAAAUCUUAAAUCGUUAAAAAAAAUUUAAGCAGCCAACACUUAACUGGUUUCAAGAGAAUUAACUAAAAAUCGUACCUUUUUACAAAUUUCAGUUUAAAAAUUACAACAAAAAAAACUUCGAAAAUUCAAAAAUUAGCCCAAAACGGGGAAAUAGUAAAGCAGCCGACACUUUACUGGUUUUUGGAAAAUUUUCGGAAAAGUAUAUAUUUUUUAUCACAAAAACCUCGGUAAACUCGAAAAAAUGGCUCAAAAAUCGUAGAAAACACGUGUUUUGUGAUGAAAAUUUGAAUAUUUUACCCAAACCUUUAUGGCAAUCAUUCAAAAAAAAAACUAAAACAACAAAGCAGCCGACACUUCACUGGUUUUAAAAUAAUUUUUUUUGUUAAAUUUUACCGCUUCUACUAACAAUUCACACCACAUUGUCCAUUUUUUUUUCACAUACAGGAGCUCACCAAUUCAAAAAAAACUGAAGUUUACAGUAAUCCCCCUCAAACUUCAGGUCUUCAUCCCGGCACCGGAGCCAUUUUUGAAUCAGGAGACUGGCGAAGAGCUGCAAUUUGUCUAUGGGGUUUGUAGUUCUAAAUUUAAAAAAAAAUUUUUUUGAUUGCUUUAUUAGACUCAAAAUUGUCUGAAAACACCGAUUUCAUAAAGAAACUUCUUGAAAACUUCUCAAAAAAUAGUUAUGACGGCUCAAAAAAUGACCUAAAAUUAGUGAAAAUUUGAAAUUUGACCUUGUCAAGCGUCUGGAAACAUUUUUUUUUUGAAAUCACCGCCAAAUUUUGGGUUUACAAGUCAAUUAUCUUGUGUCUUCAACUUCAAUUAGGGAUUUAAAAGUCGAUGAACGGCGAGAUUUGGUAAAAAAAUUUAAAAAUCUCGCCGUCCAUCGAAUUUAAAAUCCCUAAUUGAAGUUGAAGACACAAGAUAAUUGACUUGAAAACUCAAAAUUUGGCGGUAAUUUCAUAAAAAAAAAUGUUUCCAGCCGCUUGACAAGUCGGUCAAGUUUCAAAUUUUCACUAAUUUUAGGCCAUUUUUUGAGCCGUCAUAACUUUUUUUUCUGAAAAGUUUUCAAGAAGUUUCAUUAUGAAAUUCGGUGUUUUCAGACAAUUUUGAGUCUAAUAAAACAAUUAAAAAAUUCGACUACACCACCACCUUUAAGUGAUAAAAAAAUAAAAGAAAAUUUAAGGAAUUCCCGUCGAAAAUGCGAAGCGAGUACUUCCAACUGGAUCGACUUGAGAAAAAUGGGAAAGAUGGGGAAAAGGUUCCCAUGCAUUUUG